rnacentral:lncRNA from 1 species
ACCCGUGGGCAGAGGCUUCUGGGAGCAGCCAGCAUGGUGGCUUAGGUGCUGGGUGAGAUGGGUCCUUGGUGGAAUGGGUGCUUAGAAGGUUAGGUACUUAGGAGGGCAGGUGUUUGGUUGGACCAUGCAUGCUUGGGGCUAGAAAUGGCUGCUUACUGAAAGCUGAGCCUGUUCUUGUCACUCUUUCUGUCAUGCCCCACUCACUGACAUGUCCCUUAAGAGUGGACUGCAGUGCUCUCCUGCCCAGCCACCUGUAGAAUCCCUCCCCGCCUCCCCCCGAAACAUUUCAUUCCAAUCCCAAAAUUCUCUGCCUUUCAGCCCGUCAUCUCUGGUCACUUCCAUUCUUUCACUUUUUAGCCUCACAGAGGGUAGGGAGGUAUGUUGGAACCUUAGCCAGCUCACUGUCCUAGAUACCUGUUGUCUGCCCCUCUUCUGCAAGAGCACCCCUGUUUCCUGGAAAUCACCUUUCUCUGGCACCAGUCAGCACCAUGGGGCUGGCACACACCACUCUCUAGACUCAUCCAGUCUGGUUGUCCUGGUGAGCUGGCUUCAGGGACAGGCUCUAAGGAUGGCUCAUUUCCACCAAAUUAUGGGAUUUUGCUGGAAGAAUCAAAAGAGAAAACCCCUUUGGUCCACUGGGCUGCCAAGGUGAGACAAUAUAAGCCUGGAGCUGCUUGAGGCCAGUGUGUGAGAAGAACCUAAUCUGGGAGGGAAGUUGAUCUAGGCAGUGUCUUAGUUAGGAAUGGUUUCUAUUGCUGGGAUAAACACCAUGACCAAAAGCAACUGCAUUAGCAGCACAUCACUGAAGCCAGCCAGCAGGAACCUGGAAACAGGGACUGAAACAGAAACCCUGGUGGAGUGCUGGUUACUGGAGUGCUGGUUACUGGAGUGCUGGUUACUGGAGUGCUGGUUACUGGCUUGCUCCUCCUGGCUCACUCAGCCUACUGUUCUGGAGUUCCCAGAAGCACCCGCCCAGGGGCGUCACCUCCCACAAUAACCUGGGCCCUUGUGAGUUAAUCCAAAACUGCCGCACAGGUCAAUCUGGUGGGGAUGUUUUUUCAACGGAGAUUCCUACUUCCCAAAUGACUAGCAUGAGUCAGGUUGCCAUAAAACUAGCCAGCACAGUCAAGGCAGGAAGAGAUGGGUUUUAGUGGUAUCUUUUGUGCAGUUAGAGCCUGCUGGGCUUUUAAAUUAUGGGACCCCACAGAUGCCUCUUCAAAGGGUACCCCAUAGAGUCAAGUGUUUGAAUGCUUGGCCCACAGGGAGUGGGACUAUUAGGAGGUGUGGCCUUGUUGGAGUAGGUGUGGCCUUGUUGGAGGAAGAGCAUCUCUAUGGGGGUGGAUUUGAGGUUUCUGUGCUUAAGCUCUGCCCAGUAUGGAAUUCCAGUCUCCUCCUGGCUGCCUUCAGAUCAAGAUAUAGACAUCUUGGCAACUCCAGCACCAAGUCUGCUGCACACGGCCCUGCUUCCUACCACAACGAUGAUGGACUGAACCUCUGAAACUAAGUCAGUAAAAUGCUGUUCUUU